rnacentral:misc_RNA from 1 species
AUCUCUGAGAGAUUGCGGCGGCACCCCCAAAUGGGCAGUAACGCUAAAGGUAAGACCGUCGUUUGGCGGAGGACUAGAUUGUGGCAACCCUGGGAUGUAGGGAGAAAAACAUUUCUUUCCUCGCAGUCUGCAUUACAUAUGGCUUAGUGAAUGUCGCUGGGGAUGCGCCAUUUUGAUGUUUAUUACUAAUUAAGCAAUUAUUAUGUAACCUUCUUUAAAUAUUAAAUUAAGCUUAAAUAUUAUGGCUAGCUGGUGAUUAUACAUUAUUUUAUUUAAAACGUAUUUUCUUCUUUUUAGGCACGUUGUACCCCACGUGCCUCAUUGGUGACCCUUAAUUCUGUUCUCGCUUCUUCUGAUUUUUUUAUUCGAUCUGUUAUAAUCUUUCUUUAAACGCAACAGCUAUGCCUAAUUUUUAUAAAAAUACAUUAUAUAAUGAAAUUUAAUCGCUAUCCUCUGUUUAUUUUCUUUCUAUUUACUAAUUAUGUGCACAUGGAUACACACGAGGAUUAUCGUUUCAUUGCGGAAAUUUACAGGUACCUAGCCACCGGUGCAAGUUUCGGAGAGUUGUAUUUCUGCUGGGCAAAACAACUAUGAGAAACAUAGUUAGAGAGACAUGCAAACAUCUGUGGACGGUUUUAGCUCCCAUUUUUAUGGCACCUAAGACGGAAGAGGAUUGAAAAGCAAUAGCCGAGUAAUUUUUCGAGAUUACAAAUUUCCCAAAUUGUCUAGGUGCCAUAGAUGGGAAGCACAUGCGAAUUGAAAAGCCUGAAGGAACAGGAUCACAGUUUUUCAAUUAUAAGGGAUAUCAUUCAAUUGUGCUAUUGGCCCUAAUUUAUGUGCAUGUGCUGCAAAGUGCUGUUUCACGGCAGUGGAUGUUGGAGCCUUUGGUUCCGCAAGUGAUUCGGCGGUUUUUUGAGCCUCGAAUUUCGGCAAAAAAUUGAAAGCCAAAAGUCUCAACAUUCCAAGUGUGGAAACUCUGCCAUUCGACAGAGACGGUGAAAAAAUGCCUUUCGUCAUUGUAGGUGACGAGGCUUUCGGUUUGUCACAAGACGUACUACGGCCUUUUCGAGGCAAAGAGCCUUUAACUACCGCCUUACUACCUUAGGGUGGUUGAGUGCUCAUUUGGUAUCUUAGCUAAAAAAUUUUAUCGAUGUGGGGAUAGAGUUUGCUAUAGAAAUUGUAAUGGCAGUCAGCAUUUUGCAUAAUUUUGUAAGACACUUCGAUGUGAUCGAGGAAGAAAAAGAAUUGUCUCUUUGUUCCAUGAGCAGUAUUAGAAUUCAGGGAGAAAAUAAUACUGCCAUUGGGGGCUCUGACAAUAUAAAAGAAUAUUUUGCCGAGUACUUUGUAUCACCCUCUGGCUCCGUCUCU